rnacentral:rRNA from 1 species
UACAGAGGUCCCAAGCGUUGUUCGGAUUCACUGGGCGUAAAGGGUGCGUAGGCGGUCGGGUAAGUCUGAUGUGAAAUCUCACAGCUUAACUGUGAAACUGCAUUGGAUACUAUCCGGCUCGAGGAAUGGAGGGGAGACUGGAAUUCCUGGUGUAGCGGUGAAAUGCGCAGAUAUCAGGAGGAACACCGAUGGCGAAGGCAGGUCUCUGGGCAUUAACUGACGCUGAGGAGCGAAAGCAUGGGGAGCGAACAGG